AAUGGGACUGUUGCCAAGACCUCCUACUGUAAGAUAGGCAAUGAGUUUUCUGGACCAGGAAUGUUCUUACAUUCUUCUGUACAGCACUCCUACCAAUGAGCAGUAGCACUAAAGAUGCACCUAUCAGCACUCUAAAAGUUGCUAACGUGGAAACAUUGUGGUAUUCUACGCUCAUUGUUUUAUCACCAUAGCAGAGAAGGAUCUCAAAUGACUAAAUUGAAAAAAGAAACAGUGGCUAUAUUUAGCUCUUGCACAGAGUUCAAUGUGGGACAGAAUAAACCCAGCAUAUUUAGGAGAGCCCUGAGGCUUUUCCAGUGCAUGAAGGAUGCCUGAUGCACAUUUUGAAAUUCAGCAAAUAAUGUUUUUCCAUUGCUGUUAACAGUCUAAAGAUAACUGUGCUCCUCCCUAUAUUUUUUUUCUUGAUGUUAGUCCUGAUAAGUAUGUAUUUCUUGUUAGGACUAGGACCUAAAGGACCAGUCCUCCUGAAAGUUGCCUUAUAUAUGUUUUCAAUUGCAAUUCAAACAGUCACAGUCCUAUCAGACCUCAUGCAGCACUGCAGCUAUUAUGGACGGAAUCGGUCAUCCAGGAAGCAAAGCUGUAGCUGUUGAGGACUCCUUCAGACCAAGGAGAAGCUGAAGUCUGGGAGUGACCUGUCAGCAAUAAAAAGGGUUUUCUCAUAAAGCCGACAGGUAUAAGGUCCUGUCAGAAUGACUGCUCCUUCAGAAAAAUCCAUUAAUUAACACUUGUCAUCUGUGACAGUCACAGGUAAUUCUCACGCUGACAGGUCUUUGCAUGCGACAAAUGGAUUCCCGUUAUUCCUUUGACAACUGGACCAUGAAAUCUAAUUUUGCCAGGACGGUAAAUGGUAUCACUGUUUAUGCCAGCUUUUGAAAUUCAUCAAAAUGAGCAGAAUGUUCUUGCAGAUGGAGGAAGAAGAAGCUGCAGUGCACAAGGAACACAGGAUUGCUCUUCUCAGGACAAAAAGCAUCUCUCUGACUAAUAGCAGCUAGUAAUUACAAACGGUAAAUUGACCUCACUGGAUAAGACUUGAGGUCACAACAAAAAAAAGAAAUAACCCAAAUUAAACCCAAACCUAAUGAUUCUACAAUUUCACUGACUGAUUUUUAGCCACAAGGAGUUAAUAAAUUAAUGUAUGCUUAAAAAACCAACAGAAAACAACAUUUCCAUCCCUCUCUACUUAUUGUGGGUGUGCAGCCUCAUCUUGAGUAUCGUCUGCCAUUCUGGUCUCCACGACAUAAGAAAGGAUGUUAAGGUCUGUGAAAGCAUCCAGAGGAAGUCAAGGAAGUUUUACGCAGAUAUGGAAUUAACAAUGAUGAUGGGAAAAAGAUGCUGGAGAGAUAUGGAAGAGCUGGAAGAAAUGGUAGGAGGGUAAAACAGAAAACAAGUGCUGCUAGAAAAGAAGUUCUUAUACACUGGAAGAAAUGAUUUGAAACACGCAGUUACCUUUUACAUGGUUAUCACAUGGGUAAUGAAUUUGGAGUGGAAAAAUGGACUGGCAGUGCUGGAUGCACAAUAAGGGAUUUCAACUCAAGCAAAAUAUCGGGGACAAAAAUGUACCACUGAGGACUUCAGAAAGAAUGAUCAAGGAGAAGGGUGUGGGAAGGGAACAGGCUUCAGAAGAAAUUAUUUCCUUCAUUUAUUUAGAAACCAAAUGAAACUGGCUGUGGGAUAUUGGGCAAGAAACUGUUUUCUAGCACUUUCUCUAAACAAAUGAACAAAAUACUAAUAAGCUUUCAAAAGAGUUCUUCCACUGGAAGAUAUCUAAAGAGAUGUCCAGAAGUAAAGGAGCAUUGUGAAACCCCAAAGCUCUGGUUUUCCUGUGAAGGAACCACUUUGGGCUGUGUCCCACCUCAACUGCAUGGGCAAAUGCAUUGAGGGGACCCACUUGAAAGAUACAUGCUUCCAGAGCAUAAAAGUAGGUCACUGCAGCACAGGAAGGGCCUUGCACAGCAGAAAACAACCACACAGCCACUGGGGAUGGAGCUGCAUGAGGAAUGCAGAGUCACGCUGUGGUUUCGAAGCUGCUUCUGCAUGAGCAACACGGUUCAGCAGAUCCCAGCUCUAGAGGUUGUAAUGUUACUCAUGAAGAUGCUGUGUAGGCAUUUCUGCAGCAAGGCUCCUUGCCUGUUUCAUGCAGGGCUGAGGAAGGCAUUCUCAUAAGCUGGCAUCACCCCUUGGUCUGCUCUGCUGAGCCAGGGUGCCAGGAAGGAGCAAGUGAGCUGCGCUUGGGCAGGAGCAGGUAGUUAGUAUCACUUUGUAUCUGCUGUUUGUCAAAUCCUGAUCCUACUAAGAUCCAAGAUUUCUCUUCAUUUUUAGAUGCCUGAUAAAGUGGAUGAAAGCUCUCUGAGAUUAUUAGCAUGAGGGAGAACUGGUUAUCUCCAUUUAACCUAUUCAAACAAUUGCUUCAAAUCGGAGGGGUUCAGCUACAGCCCAUCCAUAGACUGAGCAACAAGAUGUUGGUGACAUAUAAGUAAAUGCAUGUAACUCUUCAGAUUUGCUCAGUGUCUGUAUACAGGGUCUGUGCCCUUCUUGCUGGACUGGAAGGCUCACAUAAUUCUGUGUGGACCACAUGAUAAAUUUUAUUUGAAAUCUUAAUUUAACCUAGAAGUUUUAACAGUAAUGCUAAUGGUAAAUAUUAAAUCAAAUGGUUUACACCGAGGGCAGAAAUUGCGGCAGCUCUAUGAAUUUUCUUUUCAUCUAAUGGAAAGACUUUUUUGGAAAUAUUCCUAGAAAUUCCCUGUCCUGAAGUAGUUCCUGGUAGAGAUAAAUUAAAGGUCCAGUUCUGUUACAUUUAACAAGCAGAGAAAUAUUUUAUGAGUCUGAAUAAAUUAUCAGUAAAUGUUCUAUAUUUUGUUUUAAAAGUGUGUAAGAGUGAGGAGAAAUGAAAGAGCAGAAUGACAGCUUUCUUAUAUUACAUUUUAAAAAUUCAUUUUUGGAAGCAAUCAGUUUACAAAUUAUAUUUUCAGUUCCCAAAGUAAGACUGUUACUUUAUGACCAUUUGAAUUUCAUCAUAAUGAAUGAAUUAUUGGUAAACUCUACCCCAGUUUUACUGUUUUGGUUAUGCCUCAAACUUCCCUUCAAAUAUUUGCGUACUUUCAAAUUAAUUAUUUCAGUCCAUCCUCUGCCUUGUUUUCCUUGCUGAUGUUGUCUGUGUGUGUGGACGCUUGUCCACCAGCCGCUGUACUGACAGCCCCAAUUAAUCUCAUUUCUGCUGCUACCAGCCGCCAGCCUUGCAGACCCAGCAGCCACAACUAGAGAAGGAAUGAUGGUUUCUUGCAAAGGGCUGCUGAAAGCACCAGGGUCCAGCACAGCAGUGAGAUAGCAGAGUUGACCCCAAAAAAGGAAGAUAGCACAAAAUGUUCAUCUGUACAUGUUAAAAAUCCUUUUUUUGUGUUUUCGGAUAUCAUUAGAAAUAUUCAAAACUUUCAUCUGAAAAGAGGGGUAUUACUGUAAACUGUUCAAAAAUAUAUUUUAAAACCCUGUAAUAUACUUUCAAAAUAUAGAAUGAAUUAUACUUCCUAUCAUGGGCCACUGACUAACACACAAGUGAAAGACAAGCAUUAAUAUUUAAAUAAAAUUAAAUGGCAGGCAAUGACUUCUGCCAUCCAUGGAAGUACUUCAUGCAUUAACAGCAUGAGUGUUUGCCUUGGAAGUAUACAAAAAUCCCCUUUGGGAUCGUGUGGUGUGGAAACUGCAGGUUCAAAGGUGAGAUGAUUCCUCCUUGUAAAGACUUAGCACAGGGGGCAUUGCUUUGUCCCUGAGUCUGCUGGUUAUCUUUCUGACAAAGUCUCGCCCGUAAUCUCUCAGCAGACUGUUGCAGCUAAUCUCUCUAUUGAUUUUUGCUUAGAAACACCUGGAGCUAUUCAAUCACUAAUAAAAUCUGAAGAGUUCAGACUUUAACUUGUUUGGAGGCACGGCUUAUUUAUCGUCUGGUGGGCAAUCGAAAAGCUCUGCUCGUUUCUAAGUAAGGGGAUCAUACAGACGACUGACAGCUGAAUCAAAAUCCACCCUACUACUCUGAGCUCCAGCUCAGCAACUCGACUCAUCUUGGCUCUUUAGUCUUCAUGCAUCUUUAUUUUUCUUUCCUUGCUUUUCCAUAUCUUUUGGUUUAUUUUACCAGUUUAAUUACAAAAAACACUGGUUUCCUUACCAGUGAUCAUUGCCAUCGUCAAAACUGAAUGGAGAAUCUGCGUGGACCUGGUUUGGAAGUCUUAAUUUUCUGGUUGCUUUUUCAUUUGCUGUAAUAGAAUGAUAGUAUGAAAGGGACUUUUAAGGGCUGUCUGGUCCAACACCUUGCAAUGAACAGGGACACUCACAGCUCAAUUAGAUGCUCAGAGCCACAUCGAGACCCUUUGGUGUCUCCAAAAAUGAGCACCCACAAGCUCCCUGGGCAGCCUGUUCCAGUGCUUCAUUACUCUUACUGACAAAAACUUUUUCUUCAUAUCCAAUCUUUUAGUUUGAAACUAUUUCCUUGCUUUCCCUUCUGUCAUUUCCUCCUUCUGCCUUCAGUCUGCUGUGUCCCUCUGCCUUUCUCAACCCCCCAGACUUCUUCUCAUGUCCUUCAGCAAUCACCAAACACUGAAGGCAGAAUCAGCAAGGAAACAAGCCCAAGGCACUUUGUCUGGAAGAAAUGAAAUCAUUUCUGGCAUAGUCAGCAGCUUUGAUAUGUAAACAGAAAGUAUAUGGGGAGACUUACU